AGGACGAACGCUGGCGGCGUGCUUAACACAUGCAAGUCGAACGAGGCGCUUGCGCCUAGUGGCGAACGGGUGAGUAACACGUGAGCAACCUGCCCUUGGCUCUGGGAUAGCCUCCGGAAACGGGGAUUAAUACCGGACAUGACCUUCUCCUGCAUGGGGGAGGGUGGAAAGUUUUUCGGCCAGGGAGGGGCUCGCGGCCUAUCAGCUUGUUGGGGGGGUAACGGCCCACCAAGGCGACGACGGGUAGCCGGCCUGAGAGGGCGACCGGCCACACUGGGACUGAGACACGGCCCAGACUCCUACGGGAGGCAGCAGUGGGGAAUAUUGCACAAUGGGGGAAACCCUGAUGCAGCGACGCCGCGUGCGGGAUGAAGGCCUUCGGGUUGUAAACCGCUUUCAGCAGGGGCGAAUUCAGACGGUACCUGCAGAAGAAGCGCCGGCUAACUACGUGCCAGCACGCCGC
rnacentral:rRNA from 1 species